AUUUAUGUUGUAUAUGUCUUUGUAAAACUGUAGGGUCGCACAUGCAGGACACAUUUCUCAUUACUCUGAUGAGGUCUGCCAUCAAUAUAUUGAAUUUGGCAUUGUCCACGAUAGCUGAGUUCCAGUGGAUCAGGUAUUUGGAGGCUAUAGGUUUGGCAUAGUGUGAAUGAAGGAUUUGGGUUUUAUUAUUCCCACUUUCCAGCCAGAGUUUCGUAUCUAG